UACGAAGGGGGCUAGCGUUGCUCGGAAUCACUGGGCGUAAAGGGCGCGUAGGCGGAUCUUUAAGUCGGGGGUGAAAGCCCAGGGCUCAACCCUGGAAUUGCCUUCGAUACUGAAGAUCUCGAGACCGGAAGAGGUAAGUGGAACUGCGAGUGUAGAGGUGAAAUUCGUAGAUAUUCGCAAGAACACCAGUGGCGAAGGCGGCUUACUGGUCCGGUACUGACGCUGAGGUGCGAAAGCGUGGGGAGCAAACAGGAUUAGAUAC
rnacentral:rRNA from 1 species